AUGAAACAUGGAAAUUUCAUUCCAUAGGAAUGUCAUUUUUUAAUAUCUCUUUUUUGAAAACUCAAAUCUAAGAGAGGCUUCUUUAUUUUUCGUUGGCUAUACUUUCCUUCCUUCUCUUCCCGCUAACUAUAGAAAAAGGAAAGAAGGCCAAUACGUCUUUCUCAUAUACCUAAGAAUCUACCAUCCAACCAAGUGUCCC
rnacentral:lncRNA from 1 species